ensembl:lncRNA
CCCUUCCUCACCCAUCCCCACCCCUCCCUUCCUCCUCCCCACCCCUCCCCUCCUCACCCCUCCCCACCUCUUCCCCUCCACCCUUCCUCACACCUCCUCUCCUCUCCCAUCCCCUCCUCAUCCCCUCCCUUCCUCACCCAUCUCCCACCCCUCCUCUCCUCUCCCAUCCCCUCCCCACCUCAUCCCCUCCACCCUUCCUCACCCCUCCUCUCCUCUCCCAUCCCCUCCUCACCUCAUCCCUCCUUAUGACCAGCACUGUUUUAUUCUGACUGCACUAUAGACUCCAGACUUAAAGUAGAGACAGUCCCUCCCUGGUUGAGAGUCAAACUUGAUGAAGCUGGUCUUCUCUUACCUUGUGUUGUUAUUGAUAACAUCACUGGUUAGUCUGACAGAUUGGUCAAUUAUUAAACACUCUUGGCACGAAAGCAAGAGAUUUUUCUGCUUUUCUACACCCACAUUGUUUGAAGACUGUACACAAUGUUGAAGACUUGUUUUGUUGUGCUAAAAUGAUUCCAUUAUGUGACCGCUAUGCUCCCCUUAUAUACAGUGAGCUCCAAAAGUAUUGGGACAGUGAUAUUUGCAUCUGCAUCGCUUGCUGUUUAGGGUUUUAGGCUGGGUUUCUGUACAGCACUUUGUGACAUCGGCUGACGUGAAUAAUAUAAAUACAUUUGAUUGGUCGAUUGAUUUGUUGUUGUUGUUUUGGCUCUGUACUUUAACACUUUGGAUUUGAAAUGAAACCAUGACUGAGGUUCAGCUAUAGAGUGUUUAACCCCAUUGUAUUUGUUUUCAAAUCCAAAGUGCUGGAGAACAGAGUAAAAACAAAGUGUUACUUGUGUUACUGCCCCAAUACUUUUGGAGAUCACAUGACCUGUUUCCUGUAUAACAGGGCCCCCCCCCCCGAAAAAAAAAUGUAAAAUAGGUUUUAAAUUGUUGGACACAAAAAAUAUAUAUAUAAAAACACCAGCAAAUCAGCUCCAAAUUAUGUUAUUUUAGAAAAUCUAUUCCAAAGUAUUCCCCAUGCAUAAUCGAGAGUAAUAUGUGAUCGUAUAUACAAAUGUAAAAGUGAUAAAGUGUUUGUCAAAUAUGGUAUCUGUUUGUGGCUUCUUGCAGUCACUUUGUAGUCUACAAAUGAUUUGUAAUGAUGUUCCCGGGCCCCCACCAUCCCUUCAGAAUCUAUUGGCUGAUCUCUGCUAUAUAAGAACAAUGACUGAUAUUGUUAUUGAUUCCUGUUGAAUGUGACAGUCAUCCCUCUAUACUGUACCCAUCGUUCACCUGUGUUUUUUCUCAUCGGGAGAUUUGUUUAAAUAGCAAUUCAUUAGUUAGCCAGAAAAACAAAGCAUAUUUAGCCUCCAGAUUAUGGCCAAGUAUUAUCUCCUAAACUUUGCCGGACAGAGUUUGACGUCGACCUAAAAUCAUUACAGAGACGAACUGAGAGACGGUUUCUUAAUUUGGCUUAUUCAAGACAAUCCAAUUUUGUUCAGUUUGAAGUGAAAAGACCACUUUGAUGCUUAAAGCAAAUACAUAUUUAAUGUUCAUGGUUUUUUUUUUCACGGGGGUGUUAAAAGUCACUUCCUUGUUGAAUGCUGAUCUCAUCCUCUAUGUUGAAUUACAUUUUCUGAAAUGUGUAAUGCAGUUCCUGUUUUUAUUUUUAAUUUUUUUUAUUAACAUUUAUUAAAUAAUUUGUAUUACUAUGCAGUGUUAUUUCAUGUGUACUACAUGUAAAACAUUUAUUCCGGUAAAUUCUGCACAAAAGUUCAAGCCUGCUUCAGCCAACGCUUCUGAAAAAUAGUCGUGCAACAGUGUCACGCACACGUAAGUCCCCCUGCAACAAGGUGCCAAAAUAAAUCGAAUCAAAGUUUAUUGCUGGCGUACACAGAUCUGCAGGUGUUACAGCAGGUGCAGAAAAAUGCUUGUUACUUGCUCCAACAGGGUAGUAGAAUCUCAACAAGAAAUUAUGAAACGCCAGAAUGAGUCCAAUUUAACAAUCCAAAAGUAGAUAUAUUAUAGUCAGAUGUGUGAGAAUCGAGAAUAUAAAUACGUAGUGUGUAUAGACAGUAGAUCAUUUGAAAAAUAAAAUGGUACUUAGAGUAGUAGGUAUAUUAGGAUGAGCUAUGUAGAGAAUACAGUAUAUACAUACACAGUGAGUAAACAAAAGUACAUAAACAAUAUAUGCAGUGACCAGUGUUCAAUGACUCUAUAUACAGUACUUUAAAAUUAUUUUUUACCUUUAUUCAACUUGGCAAGUCAGUUAAGAAAAAAAAUCUUAUUUUCAACGAUGGCCUAAGGAACUGCCUGGGUUAACUGCCUUGUUCAGGGGCAGAACGGUAGAUUUUUACCUUGGGGAUUCGAUCUUGCAAACUUCCGGUUACUAGUCCAACACUCACUAAGCUACUGACCCCCUGCCACAUGGGGAAUGUACUGUAUAUGGAUGGCUAGUGAUGGUCCUGCUAAGACUAAUGGUCCUGCUAAGACUAAUGGUCCCGCUAAGACUAAUGGUCCUGCUAAGACUAAUGGUCCUGCUAAGACUAAUGCUCCUGUUAAGACUAAUGGUCCUGUUAAGACCAAUGGUCCUGCUAAGACUAAUGGUCCUGCUAAGACAAUGGUCCUACUAAGACUAAUCUUCCUCUUCUUCA